CACAUCACAUUACACUCAGAUUGCAUCUGCAGUCUCCAGUUGCUCUGUUUUGCCUUCGGACAGGCACUCAGAAGGUUAGUCAGGGAUGUUAAGGCCAUGUUGGAUAGGUAUAUGGGCACAUUGUGGGGCUAAUUCUUCCCCUGACUUGGACUAAAUCAAGUGAAACUCCUGUUAAGCCAGAGGUAUUGCCACAAAGCAAAAUGGGCAUGAAAAGAUAGUAAACACAGACUGUUUCCUGCAGGCUGUUUAUUCAUAUUCAUUCAUUUCUUCAGGGUGUGAGGAACACAGAAGCUAGAUGCAGUGGCAAUAAGACGUUAGGAUGGCAGAAAGGGAAUGAGGAAGUAAUGUCCUUCUUCCUCUGCUAAGCAAACACAGAUCUUUCUAAUUACAUAGUCUGAUUUGAGAUAUGUAUUACAGAUUUUCGAAAAAUUGUUAGAGGAUAAAUUACUGUAAGGUAAUCAUUGUAUGGUUUCAUAUUGGGAUAAAUACAUAUAGACUGUAUGUUCAAUUUCAGUAGUAUUUUGCUUGCUUUCAUAAGAAUAAAUAUGCAUACACAGCUAUUAUGUGGUGCUAUUCAAUAACUAAAUCUAAUUUUCUGCAGAAGGCCACACAUUAAAAAAAAAAAAUAAUCUUUGUUUUAAAUGUUUUUCAGUGUGUCCUUUCUCUUAAGCUACUUUGUCUUUCACAGCCCCUUUCUUACUUAUCUAUAAAACAUGAAUGCCCCUCAUCCUCUCGUCUACCAAGUCGCACUGGACCAUUAAGGUCCGGAGUUUCUGAUGUUGUGGCACUUGGGGACAUGAUUUAGUGUCUUCUGUGUUAGGUAAAUGGUUGGACUCAAGGAUCUUGAAGGUCUUUUCCCAUCCAAGUGAUUCCAUGAUACUGUGUUUCAUUUGCUCUGUAAUAUUGUUCUUCUUAUGGUAUACCCUCUCUUUUGGAGCCCUUUUUUUUUUUUUUUUUUGGCGGUUUAUGUUGAUCUCUGUGCUGGUCUUUCCUUCAUGCUUGGAUAGAAUCCACUGCCUAAGCAAUUUCCAAUUUCUCUCACUCCCACUUCCAGACCGCUGCCCUUCCCGAAUUUGGAAAAAGUGCUGAUGUGACACUGGAGCACUCGGUGAGAUAAGUGGUAGGCUUCCUGAAACUCUGGUCUGUGUGCAGUGUCUGUUAGUAGGAGCAACUUGCAGCAACAAAUCUGCAGCGUGGAACAGAGCCAGAGAAACCAUGAGAAGUGAAAGAUGUCCAGGUUACCUAAGCAAAUUGGAUUGUACAGGGGAAAGAUUGGAAUGUGUGAGAAAUUAAGAUAGGCUGCUCUUAAAAUGUGCAGGACCAUUGUCAAGUGUUCCAUCAGUCUUGAUUUCCUGUUGUUCUAACUGCAUUUCUUCCCUUCUCAGGCAUCUCUUAGGAACUUGGUGAUGGUGAGGUCCAUUAUCUGCCACUAUUAUAUUUAGAUGUUUCUUCCAAAAUGGUGAGAAGUAAUGUCAUUCUCAUGACAGAAUUGUCACUAAGCUUCAGAGUCAUUGUAGUGACUUGCAGGGCUCAGCAUUCCAGCAAAGCCCUUAGUGCAAAUGCUGAAAAUCUUUUCAUUUUGUGUGUCAAAGAUUAUCAUAGAAUUUGAGACGUAUGGAAAAAUUGGAGUCUGUUCCAUGGAAAUUCUGCAUUCCAGAAAGGCAGAUCAGUACAGAGUCAGUGAGGAGAAAGAGCUUGGUGAUGCAUGGGAUUGAAAGUGUACAGUAGGAAACUAGGAGUAUAAUUAUACUACACAGUGAAGUAUAGUAUAUAAAUAAUUGAUCUAACCACCACUAAACUAUUUCUAGAGGUGAAUCAAUGCAGCCAUGUUAGUUUGGCUCUGAAUACAUGCUGAGGAAGACUGGCUGUCUCAGUGACAGGGCAUGUUGGUCUGAAAGAAAUGUGCCAGCUUAUCUGCACAGCUCUUGGGACCAGGGACAUUCAGGUGUAGAAUGUCUGCAGUGUCUGCUCUGACAGACCUGGUGUACAGCCAGCUGGGACCUCUUCACAUUGCAUACCAUGGUAGGAGAGAUGUGCUGUGAAAGAACUUGCCUCAGUGAGCCAAGCUAAACAAGUAGUAACAGAUGAUAUAAUUUCCUUUUCUGAAUGUACCAUCACAGAGGUAAAGCUCUCUUUAAGCCAAGGAACUGUGUUAGUAGAAUAGCAUAAGUCAUCAACUAACUAGGAAUACACUGACUCUAAAAAUCAAACAGAAUUUCCUGUCUGGGGAGAGACAUUUUGAGACUGCCAUCUGAUAGAGUAGUUACAAAAGGAACUUUGGUCACUUUUUGAAAUAAAGAAGUUGAUACAACUGCAAGUGUUAGAGUUGAAUAUUUGCAGUGAUUCGGGAGCUCCCUUCUAGUCCUGUGUUCCUGUGUCUCACAAUUCUGUUCAAGCAUCAGAGUCAACAAUACAUCCCACUGUUGAAUCACCUGGGAAGAGCAGGUCCUAAUUAUAACCUUGUGGAGUAAUAGUCUGUUCUUAUCUUUCAUGUAUCUCUUAUCUACAUAUAUUUCAACUAUAUUUCCAUUAACACAGUUGAGGUGUGAAAGCAGUGGUUUGUCUGGUAGCCAGAAGUUUAUAAUCUUAAAAAUAUGUAAGGAAUUAAGAUGCUUCAGUUGGACAGUUAAUGAAGCAAUUUUGUUUUAUCGUGAUUCUUUUUAAGUAGCAGUGAUAGAAGCAGGGAGCUCUUGGCCAAAUUUCUUGUAACAAUAUGUCAAACAAUGUACAUUAUGAUUUCAGUCAUUCUAGUCAUGAGGACCUGAGAACUGCUGAAUUCAGCCAGAUGAAAAGCCUACCUAACCUAUUACUGCUGACCUACUGAAUAGAACUGCUGAAUCAAUGAAGUCAUGGUUUUUCUGAUCCAUGUACAGUUUGUGACUCACAGUAUCCAAUGAAAGGCUGAGAAAAGUACAGUUUAAGAACAUGGAGCAUUCUGGGGUGUGUAACUCUGUGUAUAAAACAGAUGGCGUGCCUGCCUCCCUGAGACCAUUGAUCCCAAGCAGAAUGCAAUUGAUACAAGAAACUUCUAUAACAUAGAAACAAUUGUAUAAGGAACAAUUAUGCAAGAAACUUCCUACUCUUAGAAUAGUGAUGCUACCACAAUACUUUUGAAGGAAAAAUGCCAACAUUUUUGAUUGCAUGACUGUGUGUUUGAAUUGUAAUAAAGGGCAAGUCACUUCCCUUUUUUCAGUAACCUCCACACACAUAAGCAAUUGAGUAUUAAUAAGAAGACUUUUUGUGUUGAGUUCCUUUUUAAGAUACUGAAAAAAAAAAGUCCAACCAAAAAAGACAGCUGAAAAAAGUUGCUUUAUCUGUCCCCUAGAAAUGGAAAAGAGAAAUUAUUUUGGAACUACAGGCCAUAGACAUGGCAAAAUGGUGAUGGAAGUUAUACCAAAGCUUGCUGUAAGUACUCCUCAGAUAAACAAGUCCUGUGGAAAAAUCAUGGCAUGAUGGAUGAAGCAAACUCUUACUACUGUCCUCUAGGUGUCAUGAUGUGGAAGAGGAGCAGCGGGAUACCAGUGCUGCCACACUUGAAGCUAAACAGGUUUUGACAUGAUUGUUAGAGAAAAGCUACAGUAGGGCAUGGCAAAUUCACCAUGAUGCCCAUCCUGAUGUGACAUGCUCUGGAGCAAGCAGGCUCCUGCUCAGGUACUGGCAAUAAACACUGAACCAAGCCUGGGAAACAAGGACACAGACAUCCACAUCAGGUCCACAUUGGUCAUUCUGGCUUGGUCACUCAGUAUAGAUUUUUAGUGACUUCCUUGUUUUGAUAAAAUCAGAGAGAAUAUGCAGUUAGACUUGUAGCACAGUGCUCUUCCCUUUAUAGGUUUUAUUUCUUACCAAAACAGCAUGGUUUUAACAUAUAUAUAUUUACACAUAAAUAAACAGAAUGGCAACAUAAAUAAAUAAUUACACUGUUAAAUAUAUAAACAUUAGGAGGACUUGCUAGUGCAACUUUACUUGCAGAUAUUCGCAAAUACAUACAGGUCUUGUCAAAUAGCUCUUUCUUACAAAAGAAGAUACAACAAAUUCAGAGACUGGGAAUAAGACAUUUAAGAAUAAGGAUUGUGUGAUUCUUUCACAUAUAUAUGUCUAAAAGAAAGCCUGAAGAUCAGAGUUGAGUGAAGAUGAACUGGAAAAGUGGUGAUAAACAGUAAGUUAUUAGACAUCAUUUGGAAUAUUCAGAAUUUAAAUUACAAAAUAGAAAGAAUCAUCCUGCUCUUCAAAUUCCUGAAAUAAGCCUGUUCUUUUUCAGAAUCCUUCAUGUUACAGGGCCUGGCUCAUUAAAAGCUGUGAUUUAAAGCUGUUCAGAGCUGGUGUGUGAGAGUGUGUUUCUUCCCAACUGUAUCCCUAUGCUUAAUCUUUCCUUACCUACAAACCUGACCUCUCUGAGAGGCCUGACAGCAGUUAGGGAGAACACUGUCACUGGAGGCCACUGCAAGAAGACUGCUAAGAAAUCCUGCUUCCACUAAAUCCCUUUAGCUGUUGACUUCCCCAAGGACAACUUUCCUCCUUAAACCUUUCU